UUAAAAAAAAUGUGCACACACAAGAGAGACAACGAAUCUAUUUGAAGACUGACAACUUAGUAAACUGAAACUUCCAAGAACAGCAGUUUCCCACCUGUCAGUAACCAUGCAUGCCUUACUGCUGACAGAACCAGCUCCCAGGCCACCAAGAUGCAUCAGGCAGAGCUGCUGCUCUCUGGUACUGACAUAGCAGCUAAAUCUGAUUUUUAACCCCACAAAAUUCCUGCUAGUUUUGUUAAGAAGGCAAUUGUAUAUAUCACAUAAGGGAUAAAGUUAUUUCACUUGUGUGGAAACCACUGUUCAGAGGAAUAGCUGAAUGCACCAAACAAAGGAUACAAAUCUAUCCUUUCCAUAUAAUUAAAAGCAUUAUGCUUAAAAUUUGAAUGAAUUUUGGUAAAGCUGCACAUUAUAAAUUUGCUUUUCAGCCACAAACACUGGACUCUGUUCGAAUCAUAAGUGAAAUAUAUUUCAAUACUCCCAAAGUAUUAUGCUUGUGACAUCAGCCUGCAGAAAUUCUUGCAACUAGUUUCCUCACAUAAGCCAUUAAUAAUCUGAUGAUUAUGGAUCCCAUAAUACUCCUCUCCUCUUACAUAGUUGCACUUUUGCUUAGAGAGCAGUAAGAAAUACAACAACUCAAUAGUCUAUGUCGAAAUGCUGAACUCCUCAUAAACCAACUUGUAAAAAAAACAGUUGAAUUAGAUUUUAGAACAGUUUCAAUUUCUUAAGCUGAGGAAACAUGCCUAAUCAUUGGUACCAGUUGUGGAGGAGACAGUCAUUUUCAAGACUCCUCCCCAGGCUUAAGUAGUAAAAUCGAGACUUUCCAUAACAACUCUUGUUCCUUAAGAGGACAGUAAAAGCUGUAGUAAAAGCUAUAUCACUCUAAAUAUAUCUAAAGAUGCAGGAAACAAACACACAAGUUUUUAUGGAGCAUUGCUGAGACAGAGACAUUUAAAAAAACCCAAAACAACAGCUCUAAAUUUUCAUUCUGCUUGUUGUUUUGGGGGGUUGUGAGGUUUUUGUGUGUUCUUCUUUUGAGACUUCCUGAUACUCUAAAAAGAAAUCGUAAAUCUGCUUUUCUUGCCUCCUGCAGAGAAUCUAGCUUUAUUACCUGUAGGGAAAUAAUAUUACCAAAUUUGAAGAGCUACUUACAGAAAAGAAGAAAAUGCUCUAAGUCAGGCCUCAGUAAGGGUAAUAAAUUUAUUUUGUUUCUUUCCCUUUGUGCGUUUAUUUUACAAGAAUCUAUUAUUUUCUUAAUUGUUGUGUUGUGCUCCAGAAGUAGUACUAUUUUCUUAAUCUAUAUAUGAGUUUUUAUGGAGUUUUACAGAGACCUUUAUUCCAGUAGUCCUGAACCUUCUGUUUCAAACUCAAGUCCAGUUUUUUUAAACAAGUGAUCACAAAUUUAUUGCAGCCCUUACACAGUUUGCUGCUUGCUUUGAAUAUCUGACGUCUUAUCUGUUCUGCACCCACAAUGCCUAGUGUACACCAAAACAUAAAGUUGCACCUCACAAAUAUGGCAAACAAAUGCUGAAAAAACCGCAUUCUACUCUCAUUUAUUACAGCCAGAUGCCUUCCUCUAUGCUGCCUACUCCACAACUCUGGGAGAAGCCUCCCCACCUGCUGAAGCAAAGCAGGGGGCUCCUCUGGACACCCCGACCGCUGCUCUCGGAUGAAUCAGCAUUGCCUAGAAAACAUAAAGCUCCUUAAAGAGGCUUGCGAUUCUUGCAGCUCUUGAUCAGCAUUCCUUCGGCUUUGUUCACAACUAGUUUAGGAUGCAGCAAAGCUCCGUGUUUAUGAAAACAGAAGCGUAAAACAAACCCAAACUGGUGAGAAGAGCGAGCUGCGUUGCUCAUCACACCGAAUGGUUGUGAGCAUUUUGCUGCGGAAUCCUGCUGUGAAUAUCCUACCGCUCCAUGACUCGAGCUUAAUCGACUGGGGACUUCAACUCUGCUCUCCAGCAUUAUCAUGAGCUUCUAAAGUUCAGUUAAAAUACUGCGUGUGUCCAUCCCUUUCCUUCUCCAUGUGCUGCACUACAUUAAUGUAUUAAGACCCAGUAAAUCGUUUUCUCAAGGAAAACAAGUCCAGUAUUCAUAAAAGCAGUACAAAUAACAAUCGAACAACAGUCUCACUGUCAAACAGGCUUGUUUGGGCCUCAGUAUUCCUUCAGAAAACCCUGUUCUACUGUCCUGCGCAAUGCUUUUUAUCAGCAUACCAAGGCUCCAAGCACAUUAUUUCCGUGCAACUCUCCUUCUUUGCUCCUGCAUAAGAAAGACAUCCUCUGAUCACUUUUUCCUUUUGAUUCUAACAGAUGCUGAGGUGCUGUCAGUGGAAGAAGACUACCUGGGCAUUGUGAGAAAUCAGGUUGUGAUUCGUGUCAAUCAAAUAGCACCCAUCUAUGUAUGUGUGUCUGUGGGCAAUGCAGACAGAGACCAUGGGAUUAUUAUAAAGAAGAGUUUUAAGAAUCAGCUAAAGUAAGGCAUGGAAGUGAGGUUUAACAAAGUAACUAUAUAACAGUAAACUUCUAGCAGUUUGUUUUAACAAUAAAAUUGUAAUUACCUACAAGUAAUUAAUACAAGCUUUAGAAUACCUUGUAGUAUAAGUCUCAAACUAUUCUUUGUACAAGCUAUAAAUUGGUUUUUUUUGGAGUACAGAAGAAUUUGGAAACACUUAAAAACAGGAAAGUAAGCUGAGAGGAACAUGACCUGAGAGGCAUUUUUAAACAUGCUUAUUUUAAGUUUUGUAAUAGCUGAGAAAGAGGCCCUAUGAUGACAUUUUUUUACACAUGCUGGCUGUAAGUUGUGAAAUGACUGAAAGAGGACUUGCAAAAUGUAUACUAGCAGAAUAUAUAUAUGCUUUCUUGGACAAACUGUAUAACCAAAACAAUGCUAGUGGAAAAAAGAUAUUUUAGAAGAAGAAUAGGAAGCGGAAGAGACAUCAGAAGACCAUCUCAGACCACCUCAACAACAGAGCUUCAAAAACCACAACUGCUGAUUAUGAAGAAAAGCAAGUGGAAAGUAACUGAAAGUUUGAGGAAGUGCCUAGAAUGGUAUAAGAAGACUACCAUGUAAACCCUGAAUUUGUGCAUUGCUUAGGGCAGUGACCCUCAUGCACUCAGUGCUGUUAAAUUUGCUCACCUUUUAUCGAACAAAUUAGUAAAUUUGCUAUAUUGCUUCAUGUA